UACGUAGGGUGCAAGCGUUAUCCGGAAUUAUUGGGCGUAAAGAGCUCGUAAGCGGUUUGUCGCGUCUGCUGUGAAAACCUAAGGCUCAACCUUGGGCUUGCAGUGGGUACGGGCAGACUAGAGUGCGGUAGGGGUGACUGGAAUUCCUGGUGUAGCGGUGGAAUGCGCAGAUAUCAGGAGGAACACCGAUGGCGAAGGCAGGUCUCUGGGCCACUACUGACGCUGAGAAGCGAAAGCGUGGGGAGCGAACAGG
rnacentral:rRNA from 1 species